CUACAGCACGUGCCACUUGGUCUGGUGCAGGGCAGGGUGAUGCAUGUGGCGUAGCUGCCCAGCAAGAUGGGCCUCGUCGACAAGAGGUGCAGGAAGGAACGAUCAUAUGGUCAUUGUUGUGAUUGCGGAUGCUCACCAAGAUCACAUCGCCCAAAGCAUGAAUUUCUGGACCUCACCAUCUAUUCCUCGGUCCAGGCAAGUUUGUGGUCUCCUCCUCCCCCCCUCUCUCUCUCUCNNNNNNNNNNNNNNNNNNNNNNNNNNNNNNNNNNNNNNNNNNNNNNNNNNNNNNNNNNNNNNCACACACACAGAGAUACACAUACACAUACGUGCACCCCUAGAUUGUCAGUCAUCUGAGUCGUGGUUGAUCGUGGUUCGGGCCAUCGAGCCAAUGAUUAGUGUUUGGAUCUACGGUGGCAUUCUUGUGUGACUGGUUGAUCAUCUUUCUUGUUGAUGAGACUGGUACCUUGUAUUUUUGUGCUGGGUCCUGUUUAGCACUUCAUGCUACACGGUUUGGUAAUGUCAUGCUUAGUUUUGAUAGAUAGGAUCCAUCCUUACUUAUUUUGGGAUUUUGACUUGUUGGUGGUUUGCUAGAAUCAAAUAGAAGAAAAUGCUUACUUGGUGUAGUGUGGCUGGUGCAUAGAUAGAUAGAACAAGUGCCAUCCUCGUGUACUUUUGAGGGAGCCAUCAUGUGUUGGCAAUAUUUAUGAUAAGUCGUGGAUGCUUUUGCCCAUGAAGAGUGGAUAUUAUUCUGGCUUUGGAACUACCUUUUUUAUCAGUCUAUUCAUGAUUGAGUCCAGACUUUUUUUUGGUUGUAUGAAAUGUUAGCCUGCAUUUGCUUAGGUUAGGACAACAUGUGUUUUGUGUUUUUCUGUAAACAAAUGUUUUGUGAUUUUUCAGAGUGAAUGUCUACUUGGGGUAACAACCUUCUUAACAAGAGCCUUUCUGGUCAAAUUCCACAAUCCUUGACAUAUUUGAUCUUGUAGGCGUCAAAAUUUUUGUGGCAUUGAGCCGUUAUACAAGUGCUGAGGUUAUUUGCAUUUUGUAAAAGCUAGCUUUUGGUUAUUUGUUAUGUUGCAUCGCUCUGCUGUUGGCUGAAAUGGUGUGUUGUGAGUGUCGUGUCCAAAGCAAAGCAAUUUGUCAAGUAGAGAGAAUAAUUUUUCUGGGCUGGCUUAUGAUCUUCGCCUAUACAAAGGGAUAGUGUAUUUGUUGGUUGGAAAAAGUGAUGCAUACCAUUGGUACUUUGCUUUUGUCAGGACCCCGACUCAAUGCCACAUCGAUCCAGCAUGUAACACUUCAUAUCACUUUGCGGCCUCACGCACGGUAUUCCCACGGGUGUCGCCUUACCUUUACCCGGGAUCGUUUGCGUCUUUUGGCACACGUAUAUGAUAAUGUCGCUAGCAUCCAUAUGAUAAGGAGCCCGGGCUGACAUGGCUAUUCGUAAACCCAAAGUGGCACAAACUUACAGGGACAGACAUCCAUGACCCAGCAUCGAACGUGUCGGUCAUCAGCGAGUGAAUCCAGGCUGUAGCACUGGGCUAGCAGGACUUCGGUGAACCAGGCUGUAGCGGGCUAACAGGACUCCGGUAUUCAUCGCGUGACAUUUCCCCGAAGGGACAGACACAGGAACGAAGAAGGACACAUGCCGGCCAGCCUAAGUGUUUCGGAGCAGUAGCAAGCUACCAUGGCUCGGUGGAAACACUAGGAGACAUUUCCCGGUAAGAGAGGCUACUAAAGAUAAACAACUAGAUAGUCAGAUCCCACACAUAUCAAGCAUUUCAAUAACAUACACACAAUAUGCUCGAUAUGUGCAAUACAACAUGGCAUCACAAAAUGACUCUACGACUCAAGUAGUUUAUUCAAUAGGCUUCGAGGAGCGAGACAUUACAAACAUGGGUCUCAUGACCCAACAAUCAGAGCAUACAAGUCAAAGCACAAGCGGAAGCUAUCAUGUCUGGGUACAGACAUCUAUAAAUGAAAAAGGCUGAGAAGCCUGACUAUCUAUCAGAUCCUGCCGAGGGCACAAGAUCGUAGCUGAGGUAACAAGCUAAACGUCGAAGUCCACGUGGAACUACUAGUGAGACUGAAGUCUCUCUGCAAAAACAUAAAAUAGGCAAACGUGAGUACAAAUGUACCCAGCAAGACUUACAUCAAAACUAACUACAUAUGCAUCAUUUUCAACAAGGGGAUGGUGGGGUUUAACUGCAGCAAGCCAGCUUUGACUCGGUGGCUAUCCUAAACUACGACUGCAAGCGACUCUUUUGAGGUGGCGCACACGAGUCCACAUAUUCACCAUAUCAAUACACCACUAUGGAUCCGCUCCCGUCUCCCUAUGAGAACGCCAUCCAUAGCACUCACGCUUAUCUUGCGUAUUUUAAAGUAUCCACUUUCACUUGUCUAUGAACUGAUAUAAACAACCAAGUAGUCCUUUACCGCGGACGCGACUAUUCGAAUAGAUCAUGAUAACCCUGCAGGGGUGUACUUCUUCAUACAUGUUUCCACCACUUAGCGUCUGCACACGACAUGUGCUCGGCAGACUUCAAGCUACCGCAACAAGUAACAGAUGAAUCGAUGUUGUCCUAAUGCAGUAAAAGAGAGCAGGAGCGAGAGAGUGGGAUUGUAUCGGAAUGAACAAGGGGGUUUUGCUUGCCUGGCACUUCUGAAGAUAAUAUUGAGUCUUCAUCAGUGUCAACGAUCACAUCAUCGGUAUCACGUCUAUCGAGAGGGGACAAAUACCGGCAACACAGAAGGGAACACAAUCAAUGCAAUGCACAAUAUGAUGCAUGAUCAUGACAUGGCAAAAUGAAUGUGUUUUGAGCCAAUGCAACUAGCAACAGAUUAAAUGAAGUUGGUUUGAAUACAAGAUUCAAAUUCAAACUCCAUAUGUGAUUAUUUAAAUGCCCUUUAUUUGAUUUGUGCUAAACAGCAACUAUAAGUUGUUCUAACAUGCAUGAAAAUGGUACAGAUGGAUUCCUUGAAUUUUACUGAUAAUUUUUCAUAUAUAAAUUAUUUAAUUUGGAGUUACGGUUGAAUUUCUAUGAAUUUUAGAAGUUUAUACAAUUUUCUGGAAUUUAUAAAUCAUUUCCUAAUUUAUUUUAAUUCCAGAAAGGAAUUAUUGCGUCAGCAUGACCUCAUCCUGACGUCAUCAGGUCAACAGGGCGGGUCCAGGUCAAACNNNNNNNNNNAGAUACCUGGUAUUUCUCUCCUUCCCCACUUUAAGCACAAAGAACAACUUCAGAGGCACAUUGUGCGCUUGCACUUAUUAUUUUUACUGUAUUGUCAGUUCGGUGUUUGUGAGAUAGGCAUUGCUAACUUGCAACUUGUGAACCGGUUUACUCCUUGUCUGUCUCUCUCGGCCCUUGUAUCUUGAUUUUACAUGUACCAGUAGACAUCACUUCUGUUAUUUAGAUACAAGUUUUGUGUUUGGACAUGUGAAUUUUCUCUCACUACUUGAAGGUUUCAUGUGGAAUUUCCGAGAGUACCAAACCAACUCCUAGUUUUUCACCCUUCUGUCAGUCCUUGUAUCUAAAUUAACUGCAACUAUUUUCUGCAAGGAACUGCAUUAAGCAAGAACACAAACCCCUGUCUCCACCACAUAUAUUUCUCAUUGUCAAAGGAAGGUCAUCUUUAGAAAUCUGAAGUCAUGGCUGCCUGUUAGGGUGUCUUUGGAUCCUAAGCAAUUGUAGUGUUAGCUUGCUUAGCAAGGAAAUCUGUUUGGUAAAAGCUAAACUAACCUGGCAAUUCCAUCUAGCCUGCACACGCUAGAAAAGCCUUGCCCCAGCAGGAGGGCCAAUUUGGCUCUCCGUUGGUAAUAAAUGAGUGGAAGAAAGAAAUCAAGGUAACUGCCACUGGAAUUGUGCUUAACCAAGGAGAUUGGUAGCUGAACCAAAUAGCUGGCUUUGCCCACGUAGGCUGUAGCUCAAAAGCCUUGGUUAGCUCGGCAUUGACGGCAAAAGAUAUAAACACACCCUCAAUGACAUCACUCCCUCUAAUUCACAAGUGCUGUUUGGACAUUAGCACGCUCCACACCGUAACUUCGACAAGCAAUUUCUGCUAUCAUGCAUACAUUUAAAUUUUUUCUGAGUGGACAGAGUACCAUAUGUUGACUUAGGUGAACAUUUCUGGUUUGUGCAAUAUAUUUAGUUGCCGAGUUGAUCGAUUAGAUUUAGAUAGAAAGCGUCCAAAUACGAAGAAAAUUGCUGAGCCAUUAAACUGUUUUCUGGAGAUCAAAGUCACCAAGUAUUCUAUGGAGGGCUCGCAGAAUGGCGCCUGUACAGAAAUGAGUUGACUUUGUGUUGUUAUCCGGCUUGUUUAGUUCGUUGACCUAUUUGUGUUUAUUGAUCCAUAUUUAAAUGUUCUCAAUUCACAGUCAACAGGAGGUUGGAUGAGUGGGUUAAACUUGAACAACCUGCUCUCUCUCACGUUGCUCUUCACCUUUGUUUGAAUUCGUUUUGCAUCGUUUGGUAGAACCGGGAUGAAUUUUGAUUAAGUUGUUUGCCCUUUCUUUGUGUUGUGUUCAAUUUCAUCACUGAUUUCCUUGUUAGUACCACUACUUGUUUCUGCGACUAUUCUAAUUGCAGACGACGACAUCAGCAUCCCUACAGAUCUGAAGCGGCCCAUCCUUAAUGGUUUCUACCGCCAUAUCUACCAACCCCGACCGGAUUUAUCAUUGCAUGGGAUCUCUCCUUAUCCGACGCUCACUCUGACGCAUCUGGCAUAGGUAAGCCACUGGUUCCUCCUCUGGUCACCCUCAUGCUCCGUGUAACCAUGGCCACCGAGUUGUGAUGAUUUUUUUUGUACACGAAUGAGAUAAUUUAUGUGUUCCAAACAUUGUGCACAGAUCAUUCUUAUAUUUGCUUGAAUUGGGAAACCCAAUCAAAUCAUCUUCUUUUGUGCUUCCUAUUUGCUGAUCCAUCGUAUGGGUGUACUGUGUAUGUAUGUAAAGGAGAUGGAGAAAGAUAGGAGUUGUAGCUUUUAGAAAUCUUGGUAUUGAUGGGGAAAGAUAGUGAUCACAGUUUCUUUGUUGGAAAGUGUCCAAACUUUUUUUCCCGGAAAUAUAAAUAUGAAUAAAGACAUUGUAUUUCUGUUACCAAAUAAAAAUCAUCUCCUUUUGUGUUUUUUAUGGCUGAUCCAUUUUAUGGGUGUUUUGUGCUUGCAUGUAAAGGGAAUGGGGAAAGAUGGGAGUACUAGCUUUUAGAAACACAUUUACUUAUUGGAAUUCCAGUAUUAAUGGGGGAAGAUAAUAAUCACUGUGUCCAGGUUAGAAAGCUUCCAAUUACGAAGAAAAUAGCCAGAGCUAUUAAACAUUUUUCUGGAGAUUCAAUUCACCUAUUAUAUUUCUGUUCCUCCGAUACUGCUACGUUCUUUUCAUGAUUGGUAACUACAAGUGUUCCCUUUUUGAUUAACAGAAGUGAUUGCAAAGGAGCUGGAUGUGCAGGGCCAUGGAAUCCCGAUGACAGUGGCCAACAUCACCUACAUAGGCAUGAACGACCUCCAUGCUGUUGGCGGCCUUGGCACGCUACUGUUCUACCUUUAUCUCCUGGAGGUCAAGAUGGAUGUUGACAUUCCCAACACUGUUCAGGGUAAUUCAUUCAUUCAUGCCCCAUACUUGGCAUGCUAUUGUUCUAACUUUAUCUCCUGGAGGUCAAGAUGGAGGUCAAGGUGGAUCGGCAGGAGCUAGAAGUAAGGUUAUCUCCUUUUUCUUCCAUUCCGAAGAUGGUUGCCAUUUAUACAUUUCAAGUUAGUAGCUAUUCCAUUGUAUCACAAUAGAGAAGUAAUUUGGUUGCGUGAAAAACAUCUAGGUUUCUCACUGGAGCGGAACUCCUUUGCACGGAGUCUCAUAACGCAGACUCAUCCCUGAAAGCACUAUGACAGCACUCAGGUUCAAUCAUGUGUUGCCCCCUGAAGGUCGGUUGCGUGCUUGAUCAUCCUGUCACAUCACAUAUAUUCAUGUUGGCAUUGUGUGGGCCUAACAAAAAAUGCUUGGUUUGCUACAAUUUUAGGCUGCUCCUGUGUCCAGCCUUGCCAAUCAGGCCGGCCUCCACAUGCUGGAGGCGCCGCUGAUUGCUCUCCAGGUUCCCCAAGAUCAUGCAGCAGGUACUUAGCCAGCUACCAUUGUGAAUGAAUGGCAGACUCGCCCCCGGCUGUUUGUAACAAAACUGGAAGUUUGAAACUCUUGCUUUGUUCAUGGUUUGGCGUACCUACCCUGGCGGUGUGUGCGUGUUCUUGCAAAUAAGGUCUAUGGCCCAUUUACAUAUAUUUGAUGCUCUUAGAUGGACAUGAAAACACUUGCUUGUAGAUUUGGCGCCACUAUAUUUUAGGUCCAUGUUCUAACUGUCAAUAAUAUGGCACUACACUUGGUUUUAUCUCCUGUUUUUUAGAGUUCGAUGAAAAACUGCCACACCAAAGUUGGUUGCUUCUAGGUGCUAUUGUAUAGUGAAUGAUAACUGAUUUAUAGUCCUGAGAUGUUUAUUUGUGUUCUCUUCCCAAACAUAGCUACUGUUUUAAUUUUGAUUUGGUCGCUAUUAUGAUUGCUUAAGCUUCAUCAUGUUCCCUCUUCUUUUCAGAAAAAGAACAUUUAGCUUAUUCUUUGUGGUUGUCUAAUCUUCCAUAACCUCGGCUUGCGCAACCGUUGCAGUUGUCGUCACCUCUUCUUGGUUCAGGUGAGCCCUUGAUCUCCCUCCCUCUUUUUCACUGAGAUAGUCUGCCAAAUUUUGAAUGUUGAUUCAGUGUUCAGAUCUCCGGUGGUUUUCUUCUGGCCACCACAAUCAUGUGAGCUUGCUGGAUUUUUGUCCCUAUGAGCUGGCCGAAUUGAUUAUUUCAAAAUGGUAAGGAUUUUUGGCAGUCAAGGGCUUAGUUGGAUUGAAAAUGUGAAAUCUAAGCCCUUUGACAAAUUAAAUGUUGUCUCUCGACUAUGGAGCAAAAUUAUAUGAUUUGGUCUUUGUUUGUUAUCUUGUCACGUAGUUGGACGAAAUGGGAACUUCCCUAUCUGCUAAAUCGAGCACGCAUUGCAUUAGCUUCAUUGAGUAAGUGCCAUAUCGAGCGAAGCAGAGCAGGAGCUUGCUCUUGUCUUGGCGCUAUUUUUGGUACUGCUAUCGCGUCAUGUUUAUUUGGUUACGGUCACCAUUGAUGAACAGUUCAUCUACAGUUUGAAAUAAGUUCGGGUCAGAACACUGGUUUUUUUCCCUUGCAUUUUUGGUUCAAAAAGUACCAGUUUGAUUAGCUGCAGUUCGUAUUUGUACUAUAUAGAACACAUAUUAAUAAAUUAGCUCAAUGGAAUAAGCGCGUAACCAAGCUAAGGGUAGCAGGGCUUGCACUUGUCUUGUUGCUAUAUUUGGUACUGCGAUGGUGUCAUGUUCAGUUAGUUACUAUCACCAUCGAUCAACUAGAUUCCAUUUGCAUUUUGAAACUAGUUUUGAUAAAGAACACUGAUACCUGUAGUAUUUUUGGUUGAAAAAGCACCAGCAUGAUAGGGCAGUGGAGUUCUAAUUCUUGAGUGACACACUGUGACAGUGUGACCGCAUUAUGGAAUUUUUUUAACCUGUUAUGCCAAUGCCUCUUCACUGUUUGAUAUCUAACCGUGUACUUAUUUUGAUGUCCUUUGUAACAGAAUUUACCCAGAAAUGCCCUUUUAGCAUGGAAAAAUAAAUUUCAUUCUACGCUCUCAACUAUACAUGUAGUGAGAAUGAUGAACAUCUUUGUUCUUGUUGUUGUUGCCUACAGCACGUGCCACUUGGUCUGGUGCAGGGCAGGGUGAUGCAUGUGGCGUAGCUGCCCAGCAAGAUGGGCCUCGUCGACAAGAGGUGCAGGAAGGAACGAUCAUAUGGUCAUUGUUGUGAUUGCGGAUGCUCACCAAGAUCACAUCGCCCAAAGCAUGAAUUUCUGGACCUCACCAUCUAUUCCUCGGUCCAGGCAAGUUUGUGGUCUCCUCCUCCCCCCCUCUCUCUCUCUCACACACACACAGAGAUACACAUACACAUACGUGCACCCCUAGAUUGUCAGUCAUCUGAGUCGUGGUUGAUCGUGGUUCGGGCCAUCGAGCCAAUGAUUAGUGUUUGGAUCUACGGUGGCAUUCUUGUGUGACUGGUUGAUCAUCUUUCUUGUUGAUGAGACUGGUACCUUGUAUUUUUGUGCUGGGUCCUGUUUAGCACUUCAUGCUACACGGUUUGGUAAUGUCAUGCUUAGUUUUGAUAGAUAGGAUCCAUCCUUACUUAUUUUGGGAUUUUGACUUGUUGGUGGUUUGCUAGAAUCAAAUAGAAGAAAAUGCUUACUUGGUGUAGUGUGGCUGGUGCAUAGAUAGAUAGAACAAGUGCCAUCCUCGUGUACUUUUGAGGGAGCCAUCAUGUGUUGGCAAUAUUUAUGAUAAGUCGUGGAUGCUUUUGCCCAUGAAGAGUGGAUAUUAUUCUGGCUUUGGAACUACCUUUUUUAUCAGUCUAUUCAUGAUUGAGUCCAGACUUUUUUUUGGUUGUAUGAAAUGUUAGCCUGCAUUUGCUUAGGUUAGGACAACAUGUGUUUUGUGUUUUUCUGUAAACAAAUGUUUUGUGAUUUUUCAGAGUGAAUGUCUACUUGGGGUAACAACCUUCUUAACAAGAGCCUUUCUGGUCAAAUUCCACAAUCCUUGACAUAUUUGAUCUUGUAGGCGUCAAAAUUUUUGUGGCAUUGAGCCGUCAUACAAGUGCUGAGGUUAUUUGCAUUUUGUAAAAGCUAGCUUUUGGUUAUUUGUUAUGUUGCAUCGCUCUGCUGUUGGCUGAAAUGGUGUGUUGUGAGUGUCGUGUCCAAAGCAAAGCAAUUUGUCAAGUAGAGAGAAUAAUUUUUCUGGGCUGGCUUAUGAUCUUCGCCUAUACAAAGGGAUAGUGUAUUUGUUGGUUGGAAAAAGUGAUGCAUACCAUUGGUACUUUGCUUUUGUCAGGACCCUGACUCAAUGCCACAUCGAUCCAGCAUGUAACACUUCAUAUCACUUUGCGGCCUCACGCACGGUAUUCCCACGGGUGUCGCCUUACCUUUACCCGGGACCGUUUGCGUCUUUUGGCACACGUAUAUGACAAUGUCGCU
rnacentral:lncRNA from 1 species